rnacentral:rRNA from 1 species
CCUACGGGAGGCAGCAGUGAGGAAUAUUGGUCAAUGGGCGGAAGCCUGAACCAGCCAAGUAGCGUGCAGGAUGACGGCCCUACGGGUUGUAAACUGCUUUUAUACGGGAAUAACGCGCCUUACGUAUAGGGCUUUGCAUGUACCGUAUGAAUAAGGACCGGCUAAUUCCGUGCCAGCCGCCGCGGUAAUACGGAAGGUCCGGGCGUUAUACGGAUUUAUUUGGUUUAAAGGGAGCGUAGGCAGCAUGGCCAUCGUGCUGUGAAAUGUCCGGGCUCAACCCGGGCCUUGCUGCGCGAACUGGCGUGCUUGAGUCCGCGGAAAGCAGGCGGAAUUCGUGGUGUAGCGGUGAAAUGCUUAGAUAUGACGAAGAGCCCCGAUUGCGAAGGCAGCUUGCUGCAGCGGAACUGACGCUGAUGCUCGAAAGCGCGGGUAUCGAACAGGAUUAGAUACCCUGGUAGUC